rnacentral:rRNA from 1 species
AUUGAACGCUGGCGGCAGGCUUAACACAUGCAAGUCGAGCGGAGCGAGGGUGCUUGCACCUUAGCUUAGCGGCGGACGGGUGAGUAAUGCUUAGGAAUCUGCCUAUUAGUGGGGGACAACAUUCCGAAAGGAAUGCUAAUACCGCAUACGCCCUACGGGGGAAAGCAGGGGAUCUUCGGACCUUGCGCUAAAAGAUGAGACUAAGUCGGAUUAGCUAGUUGGUGGGGUAAAGGCCUACCAAGGCGACGAUCUGUAGCGGGUCUGAGAGGAUGAUCCGCCACACUGGGACUGAGACACGGCCCAGACUCCUACGGGAGGCAGCAGUGGGGAAUAUUGGACAAUGGGCGGAAGCCUGAUCCAGCCAUGCCGCGUGUGUGAAGAAGGCCUUUUGGUUGUAAAGCACUUUAAGCGAGGAGGAGGCUACUUAGAUUAAUACUCUGGGAUAGUGGACGUUACUCGCAGAAUAAGCACCGGCUAACUCUGUGCCAGCCGCCGCCGUAAGAC